GACCUCUUACGAACGGUUCUAUUUCUAAUCAUAUUCCAGCUAUUUUUGAUUAUUCCGACCUCUUAACGAAACAGAAUCAUCAGAAUCAUGUACCUUCGGAACGAAAUCCUCCGAGACCAAGUUACACAACUGAAUCCACCUAUUCCCAGAAAUGAAUCAGUUUCAUGACCCAACAGGAUAAUCUCCCCUCGUUCAAGGGGAAAACCCCCCUCUCCCCUUUUCCUCUCCAUUUCCUCCUCUUUCUUUCCAGCCACCCGAUCUCCAACUCACGAUUGUUUCUAGCCGCCCGAUCCUCGCCCCGGCGGUGCUGCUCGCGGCUCGCCUCCCCUGUGCGCGCGCCGCGCAUGGCGUUGUUCGUGCUGGAAGGCUGCGCUGCCGGGCGCCGCCGUCCAGCCACGGGCCAUGGGCGCCGCCGCCAUCGAGCGCCCCAAUCGCUCGCGUGCAGGUAGGUGAGCGCCCCUCCCUUCGCUGACCGUGCCGCUGGGGCCAUUGUCGGAGGGGGCCGGUGGUGCCGCCACCGCCAGGGGCGCGAGUCUGCCCACGCGCGCGGGCCCCAAAGCGCUGCCGGUUUGCCGUCGCCUGGCAUAAGCCCGCGCCACGGCCCGGCCGUUGUCCGCUUCGCGUUGGGCGCCGCCACCCUGCACACGGGCGAGCAGGCCAGGCACCGCCGUGGCCCCCUCCAACGCGGGCGAGCAGGGCAGGCGCCGCUAUGGCCCCUCCAACACGGGCGAGCAGGCCAGGCGGGCGCCGUUGCUGCAGCUAGAGGAGAAGCAGGGGGAGAGAAAGAGAGGAGGAAGAUGAGAAGGAAGAAGAAGAUUUAUUCGCUUACAGGUGGAGCCCGUGUGUCCGGUGGAUAGAAAAGGCACUCUUCUUCGAAAUCCAAAAUUUGUGAAAGGAGAUUUAUCUACGGGGAGUAGUACAGGUUUUAUUGGUUCGAUUGCAGUUUACUUCAUCCAUAUGGAAUAACGAAAUUAUAUUUUUGUGAUGUCAGGUUAGUUAUUUUUAAUUUACUAAUAAUAAAAUCGGAUUUUUUUUAUUCCAGCGUUCCUCCGUCUAUCGUAAUAAUCUAACAUUCCCAUUGAAAAUCUAAAUGUCGUUGAUAUAAAUAAUAAUGGAUUUAUUUAUUUAUCAAGUGUAUUUGAUAUCAUAAAUAAUAAUAGUUAUCGAUAAAUUUAUAUUUAUUAUAUUUUGUAAACCCACUGUUGAAGUUGCUCUGAGUUGGGGGCGUGCGUGACGAACUGAGGAAGUGACGAUGGGGCAACAGCGCCUGCCGCCUGCGCGAGGGGAGGUAACACUAGUCGCACGCGCGGCUCUGGGUCGAACUGGGGGGGAAAAGAAUUUCGGUGCAGGCGCCCCCGAUGGCCGACGCGUCGCGGUCUGGCGGAAUCGACGCUCGCGGGCGAGGAUGGCCGGAGACGCGCCGGCGAGUCCACACGUCGGCUCCAGGAGCAUCAACUCACGCGCCAAGCGCGCCGCCGCCUGCCGCCCUCGUGGUUGGGUUGUCGCCGGCCUCGCGAGAAAGAAGCGUCAUGCUGCCGUCGCUAUCGCCGCACGCUGUGCCUGCGGCGUCGCGGCGAGGACUACCGCGUGGCGGUCGGUCCUGGCGAAGAAGGCCACUGCCGCCAUGGCGCCAUGAGGUGCUCAUCCUGGUCGGCUGGUCGCUUCCCCGCGGCUCAUCUGGAACCUCCACGGCCCUCAUGCUGAUGACUGCAGGCGUUGCCCUGAGGCUGCGCAGCCCACGACAUGUUCGUUGGAACGCCUGACCAGUGCUUCCAUCUCUGCAAUGGCUGUCAAAGGAGUACAAGUAAUGGUAGGAUUCAAGGAACUAAUCCUUAUUUUGGAUAAAACAACAUCUGAAAAAACUGUGAUGAACCCAGAGAAAAUAGAGCGAUCCUCAUCAGUCUCUAAUUUUUUACCAAUACAUGGAGAAUCAAGUCAACUAGCAAAAGCUGGAGGUGCUGAAAGUAAAUCAUGGGAGGCUAGUGGACCACUCAGGAAAUCCUUCAUGGCAGGUUGGUUCCUCCUCAAUUCCUCAUCAGUUCCCUUUUGGAUGCAGUUUCAGAUGAUGCAGAUAAUCUGAAUGGAGCUAAGAUUCUUCGGAGGAUCACAAGACCUAAUCAUGUGAACUAAUUUGCAUGACAAGCGGCAAUCCAUGUGGACAGUUUCUGAUAAAGAGGUUCUAACUGUUUGUUAUGUGAUUCUUAUGUCAUCUCUGUAUCCUGUUUGAGUGUUUACCAUUUUUGCAAGGAUCCAUGAACCAAAUGGUUGACACAGGAUUCAGAAACCAUUUGCUGCAGUUCUGGAAGACCACUACAAGGGCAUGAUUCUGUUCUAAUCCGAUGCAUUCCUUUUGCUGCUGCUUCCAGUUGGUAGUCAUGUCAUUGGAGGGAGUAGUCCAUACUGUAAAUGGGCCUAAAGAGGAUAGUGUUAAUAGGAUUGCAAUUUGAUGAUU